CACUUUCUGCUGGGUGUUGGGCAAUGUGCACAUCCCUCUGAAAUGUCCACGUGGCUCCUCGGAUGUCCGCUGGCUGUCACAGGUUCACAGGCAUCUGUUCUGUAGGAGACCUCAGUAUCUGACUUUCUUUCUCUUCCAGAAUCAGGGCAUAAGGAAGCAAUUUCUACCCAUACAGACUUUAAGACAUAAAAUUGCAGCACAUCACAAACUCUUCAUCCUUGUAUGAAGUGCCCUGCCUCCACACAAACAAGGAUACGAUCUUGGGAUCUGUCACCAAUCAGGCCUCUCUGAAAAGAUGUCAAAAUUUUUAAAACAGAGGAACCAAAAGGAGUGAAGGAAGGAUUGGGGAGUCAUUAGAUUUGGGUUCAAACCGAAGUUCUGCUGAGGAAAAUGUUUCACUGACUGACCUCUUUUUGCGUUCAAAUGAAGAAAAGUCAACAAUAAAAUUUCUUGGGAAUGUAAGCAGGACAUAACUUUUGAGCCUGAGGUAUAAAUAAUGAUGAAUUCUGUGUCUUUCUUGUUAUACUAUACCCGACGAAUUAGAGUUUUUGAAAUAAAAUAAAAGAAUAUUAAUGCAA